GGGACUUUGAAUAUGCCGGGGAUCGCCCUCAGCAGACUUGCCCAGGAGAGAAAAGCUUGGAGAAAAGACCACCCAUUUGGCUUUGUGGCUGUCCCUACCAAGAAUCCCGAUGGUACAAUGAACCUGAUGAACUGGGAGUGCACCAUCCCAGGGAAGAAGGGGACUCCCUGGGAAGGAGGCUUGUUCAAGCUGCGGAUGCUUUUCAAAGAUAAUUAUCCAUCCUCACCACCAAAAUGUAAAUUUGAGCCACCACUCUUCCAGCCGAAUGUGUACCCCUCAGGCACAGUGUGCCUGUCCAUCCUGGAGGAGGAUAAAGACUGGAGGCCAGCCAUCACGAUCAAACAGAUCUUAUUAGGAAUACAGGAACUUCUAAAUGAACCAAAUAUCCAAGACCCAGCUCAAGCAGAGGCCUACACGAUCUACUGCCAAAACAGAGUGGAAUAUGAGAAAAGGGUUUGAGCACAAGCCAAGAAGUUUGCACCCUCGUAAGCAGCGGCCUUAUGGCUCUGCAGAAAGGAAGGGAUUGGUUUGGCAAGAACUCGUUUACACCUUUUGCAAAUCUAGAAUCGCUCGUACGGUCACUAGUCACCUGGGAGGGCUGUGCGGGCGCCAUCUUCAUUCCCGCCACUGGCAUACAGUUUUCAUCCGCUGAUAUCACCCCGUUUUCAUACAGAGUCUCUUCCUUCAGUCUUUUGUAUUUUUGAUUGUUAUGGAAAACUUGCUUUUAUUUUAAUAUUGAUGUCAGUAUUUCAACUGCUGUAAAAUUACAAACUUUUAUACUUGGGUAAGUCCCCUAGGAGCUAGUCCUACGCUCUCGGACGCAGGCAUGCUUCCCACUGCUCAGAGCUGACCAUGGCCUCUAGCUGGCUGUACGAGAAGAAAAUCCUUUGCCCCUCCCACCCCUCAUCUGGUCUCCUCAGAACCUGGGCUGUGUUGCUUAUGAGCCUCAGAUCCAAAGUCAGCUAGUGUCUCGAUUUUGCAUCACUUCCUUUGUGUUUAUAUGACGUUUUGUCUGUGUUGAUUUUUAG